rnacentral:rRNA from 1 species
GAUGAACGCUGGCGGCGUGCCUAAUACAUGCAAGUCGAGCGAACGGACGAGAAGCUUGCUUCUCUGAUGUUAGCGGCGGACGGGUGAGUAACACGUGGAUAACCUACCUAUAAGACUGGGAUAACUUCGGGAAACCGGAGCUAAUACCGGAUGAUAUUUUGAACCGCAUGGUUCAAAAGUGAAAGACGGUCUUGCUGUCACUUAUAGAUGGAUCCGCGCUGCAUUAGCUAGUUGGUAAGGUAACGGCUUACCAAGGCAACGAUGCAUAGCCGACCUGAGAGGGUAGUCGGCCACACUGGAACUGAGACACGGUCCAGACUCCUACGGGAAGCAGCAGUAGGGAAUCUUCCGCAAUGGGCGAAAGCCUGACGGAGCAACGCCGCGUGAGUGAUGAAGGUCUUCGGAUCGUAAAACUCUGUUAUUAGGGAAGAACAUAUGUGUAAGUAACUGUGCACAUCUUGACGGUACCUAAUCAGAAAGCCACGGCUAACUACGUG